AAUGAACGCUGGCGGCAUGCCUAACACAUGCAAGUCGAACGAGACCUUCGGGUCUAGUGGCGCACGGGUGCGUAACGCGUGGGAAUCUGCCCUUGGGUUCGGAAUAACUCAGAGAAAUUUGAGCUAAUACCGGAUGAUGUCGUAAGACCAAAGAUUUAUCGCCCAAGGAUGAGCCCGCGUAGGAUUAGCUAGUUGGUGAGGUAAAGGCUCACCAAGGCGACGAUCCUUAGCUGGUCUGAGAGGAUGAUCAGCCACACUGGGACUGAGACACGGCCCAGACUCCUACGGGAGGCAGCAGUGGGGAAUAUUGGACAAUGGGCGAAAGCCUGAUCCAGCAAUGCCGCGUGAGUGAUGAAGGCCUUAGGGUUGUAAAGCUCUUUUACCCGGGAUGAUAAUGACAGUACCGGGAGAAUAAGCUCCGGCUAACUUCGUGCCAGCAGCCGCGGUAACAC
rnacentral:rRNA from 1 species